CCCGAUUUCAUAAUCAUAAUAAGCUACAACAGCAAGCAAAAUGUGGAUGAAUUUUAGAUGGCUACAGACGAGAAGGUUUUCUGAUAGUCAAUGCCCUCAUGCUGACUAUAAUCUUUAGCCACAAGCCUAGCUUUAUAGGUGUCUAUCUUACCAUCAGCACCUAUCUUCUUUUUAUAGAUCUAUUUAUACCCAAUGGGUAUAAUACCCUUAAGUGGAUCCACUAAGGUCCAGAACUAGUUCGAGUGCAUCG
rnacentral:lncRNA from 1 species